GCUGGGCAUGUUGGCUCAUGCCUGUGGUCCCAGCUACUUGGGAGGCUGAGGUAGGAGAAUUACUUGAGCCCAGGAGUUUGAAGCUACAAUGAGUUAUGAUCACACUACUGCACUCUAGCCUGGGCAACAGAGAGAGACCCUGUCUCUU
rnacentral:SRP_RNA from 1 species